rnacentral:rRNA from 1 species
AUUGAACGCUGGCGGCAUGCUUUACACAUGCAAGUCGAGCGGCAGCGCGGCCUUCGGUCUUGCGUCGAGCGGCGAACGGGUGAGUAAUGCAUCGGAACAUGCCCAGUCGUGGGGGAUAACACUUCGAAAGAAGUGCUAAUACCGCAUACGUCCUGAGGGGGAAAGCGGGGGAUCGCAAGACCUCGCGCGAUUGGAUUGGCCUAUGUCAGAUUAGCUAGUUGGUGGGGUAAAGGCCUACCAAGGCGACGAUCUGUAGCUGGUCUGAGAGGAUGAUCAGCCACACUGGAACUGAGACACGGCCCAGACUCCUACGGGAGGCAGCAGUGGGGAAUUUUGGACAAUGGGGGCAAGCCUGAUCCAGCCAUGCCGCGUGAGUGAAGAAGGCCUUCGGGUUGUAAAGCACUUUCGGCAGGAACGAAACGGUGGGAUCUAACAUAGUCCGCUAAUGACGGUACCUGAAGAAGAAGCACCGGCUAACUACGUG